AUUGAACGCUGGCGGCAGGCUUAACACAUGCAAGUCGAGCGGAGCGAGGGUGCUUGCACCUUAGCUUAGCGGCGGACGGGUGAGUAAUGCUUAGGAAUCUGCCUAUUGGUGGGGGACAACAUUCCGAAAGGAAUGCUAAUACCGCAUACGCCCUACGGGGGAAAGCAGGGGAUCUUCGGACCUUGCGCUAAUAGAUGAGCCUAAGUCGGAUUAGCUAGUUGGUGGGGUAAAGGCCUACCAAGGCGACGAUCUGUAGCGGGUCUGAGAGGAUGAUCCGCCACACUGGGACUGAGACACGGCCCAGACUCCUACGGGAGGUAGCAGUGGGGAAGAUUGGACAAUGGGCGGAAGCCUGAUCCAGCCAUGCCGCGUGUGUGAAGAAGGCCUUUUGGUUGUAAAGCACUUUAAGCGAGGAGGAGGCUCUUAAGGUUAAUACCCUUGAUGAGUGGACGUUACUCGCAGAAUAAGCACCGGCUAACUCUGUGCCAGCAGCCGCGGUAACAC
rnacentral:rRNA from 1 species